CGACACACACUUUCCGGAAGUCGGUUUACACACUUUCGGAAGUGGGUGCCUUUGGCCAAUCGGAAGAAGAAGAAGUUCAGAGGUCAAAGAAAACAGACAGAGGAAGAACAAACAUUUCACCACGUUUACCGCAAAAAAGUGACAUAUCAGCAUCAGAGCCAUUAUGUCCAAAAGGAGAAGAAGAAUAAAGCCUGUAGAUGAUGCAAAGACAUAUAUUCUGUCUUGCACUGACAAGUCUGGAUUUAUGUCAAGACUUGUCGACAGUUACAUAGAUGUCAGUAUGCCAGGAGAACAGGGGUCAGAAGAUGAGGUCAGCAUGACAUCACAAGUCCAAAACCAAAGUUUGUCUGCAAGAAAGAGAGGUAAGCAAGCUGCUGUGAAACACUGGACACCCGAGGAAAUUGAUGCAGUAGAGAAACAUCUAAAGAAGCUCAUUGUAAGACGAGAUGUUCCAGGUAAGGCGGACUGUGAGCGCUGCAUUUCUGCAGAACCGCAAGCACUGCAAAAAAGAGACUGGUAAUCAGUCAAAUAUUUCAUCAAGAAUAGAAUAACUUCCAUGAGAAGAAAACUACAAUGAAAACACACGUUUUCAGUUUGCAACACUUUUUUGUUCAAGGCGGAAAUGUGCUGUAGUUUGUUAGUAUUCUGUAUUCAUUGUUUUCCUCUAAUCAUUGUUGUCGUUUUGUGUAAAAUGUGGUCUGAUCACCGACUUUUUCACAAAAUAAAUACAUGGUACCUCAGGA